rnacentral:rRNA from 1 species
AAGCGUAAUAGCUCACUGGUCGAGUCGGCCUGCGCGGAAGAUGUAACGGGGCUAAGCGAUACACCGAAGCUGCGGCAAUGCGAUUUAUCGUAUUGGGUAGGGGAGCGUUGUGUAAGCCGUUGAAGGUGUGCUGAGAGGCAUGCUGGAGGUAUCACAAGUGCGAAUGCUGACAUGAGUAACGAUAAAGGGGGUGAAAAACCUCCUCGCCGGAAGACCAAGGGUUCCUGUCCAACGUUAAUCGGGGCAGGGUAAGUCGGCCCCUAAGGCGAGGCCGAAAGG